rnacentral:misc_RNA from 1 species
AACGCACAUUGCGCCUUCCGGUAUUCCGGGAGGCACGUCCGUUUGAGCGUCAGUGAACACCCUCCGGCCCCCGGUUUUUGCGAACCUGGCGGGCGCGGGCUCAUGGCGUGGGGAUUGCGGCCGCCGCGCUUCUGCGCGCCCACGGCCCUCCCCCGCUUAAACGCGGAGAAAAGCUAGCGGGCAGGUGCCCCCAUUGCGACGACUCGUAGAUUUAUUUUCUUGUCGGCAGGCAUUGGGAGGAACCCCCGCCUUAAACGUGGGGAACCCUUAGCGGGGCGACCCAGAAUCUUGACCUCAGAUCGGACGAGGAUACCCGCUGAACUUAA